UGCAUGGCCCAGACGGGGCCCUAGAAACAAGCUAAGAAGAGAGACCUGGUGGUCCGGCGGUGGAACUGGGACAAUGGAGUGGAACGUCCAACCAUGCCAGGAGCAUCCAUGUGCUCAUAAGCAAUGGGAGUGAAUGAAGAGCCAGGCCCAGCAACAGAGGGGAGCCUGCCCACAUGGAGCAAAAGGAGCCGGACACCAGAUUCACCCACGGCGCGAUCCCGGUGACGGAGGCAGUGUGAGCAGGCAGGCGGCGGCCACUCUGGGGAAGGGAGAAGGAAUGAGGGUGAGAGGGGCACAGAGGGCCUCCAGGGAGACGGUCCUAUUGUGCCUCUUCUCCUGGGUGUCUGUCACCUGCAUGCAAACUUUGUGAUCAUUCACUGAGUCACGUUUUCUUACAUGUCUCCUUAAAAACAGUUCUUAAAAGCUCC
ensembl:lncRNA novel transcript